AUACUUACCUUGUUUGGGUGACUGUGAUCAAAAAGACAGUUCACCACAGGCUGGUCCCUGCAUUGCACAUCGCGGCGGAACAGUCUGUUCAAUGGCACUCGUGUCAUUGACAGGCGCAUUCUUUGGCACCUCCAUUUAUGGAAUA
rnacentral:snRNA from 19 species